GGAUGCGGGAUUUCCCUCCGGAGCUGGGAAUGGCUCUGAGGAGGCGUCUCCUGCCGCGAAGCACAAGUUGGGAACAACCCAACAUUUUAAGCACCAGAGUGCUCGUCUGAGUUAAAUUCCCAAGUGGAGGGAACAAUCUUCCAGCCUUCUGCUGGAAUUAAAACCAUCCCGAGCUCUGGAGACGAACAGGGUCAAGUCACACCUGCCCAAAGGGCUGGAAAAGCUCCUGGAAUUACAUUGUUGGAACCCUCCACCCUGCUCCGGGCAGCAGAGGCAUUCCCAGGGAAACACAUGGGCAUUUCUGGGAGCAGGCAGGACCUCUGUGUGGACAGGGAUGUGCUUCUGUCGGGAAAGGCCUGUGGGGGAAGUCCAGAGUCUCCCCCAAAAGCUGCCCAGGGAAGGAAACAGGACAUUUCCUACAGCUCCACUCACAGGCUGGGAACAGCCAGGCCUGGGAUACCUCGUGGAGCAGAAUUCCCAGUGUCCAGCUGCUGUUCUUUGCCUUCAAACACAAGUCAGGAUAAAUUUGCCGUCCUCAGGGUGGAAAAGGCGAUCCAAGGAGCCAGGAGGUUCUUUCCAGCCAGUGGUGGAAGAAAGGAGAGGAUUCCAUGGGAGAACACAUUCAGCCCCUCGCUCAGGAGAGCCAAAUCUGGGAUUCUCCCCCAUUUUCCAAAGCAGUUGGGUGCUGUUUAAUAAAAAAGGCUUGACUUUGGCA